AAAGUAAAGUUCUUUACUAUUGAGAGAAACUAUUGAAAUACAGGUGACCCAUAUCUGCUGGGCUGGUUGUUGUUUUAUGUAUUUGUCAAGAAGCCUCAAAAAAUAGUAAACACCUACUGUAUGCCAAGAAGUCCUAUGUCAGAUGAUAUGCAGCAGACCAGGGAUCAUAAUCAUCUGUCUGAAUUUGGACCCCUGUUUUAAAUCAGUAUUAACAUCAACAAUAACAGUAAAUAUAGGAGCCCUUAUGCUGUUAUUUCUUCCUUAGGCUCUGUAAUGUACAGGCUUAUCCCCAACCAAAUGCAAUUAAGGAAGGAUAGUGAAGUGGAGAGGAAGUCACUUCAGUGUCAGCAAGAACUGGGUUCAACCCAGCCUUCAGCGCUUAAUGAGCUCUGGUUUUGCCUGGGCCUCAGAAUCCCUUUCGCUAAAACAGGGAAACUAUUGGGAGAGACCAAUGCACAAAUCACUUACUAUAUCACUUGAAGAUGGAUGCUUAAUACAUUUUGUUCCUUUGAUCUCCUUUCUCCUGUGACCUCAGAACAAGAAGAGAGUCUAUAUAGUUCUUUCUAGGUAAACUCAGAUCUAGCUGCAAUUUUUUAGGUCAACUAAGAUUUUUAGUGGUAAGUUCCUGAACCUACAAAUGCUGACUGCCUGGCUGUGACAUCUAAAAUAAGUGCCAAUAAAAUGAUCUGCUCCAUAUCUGCUAAUAAAUAUAUACAUAUAUAUGUGAUUUUCCUUUUUUUCUAGUCAGCAGAUGUAUUCUUUUUAAAUUCUUCAACUUCUUUAUAAUUAGCUAAGUCAUGAGAUGUACCCAAAGCACUGAAUGGGGCCUUUCAGCUGCCAUGGACUUCACCUUGAAUCAGGGACAGGAGGAAGGACACGGAGGGGAGAAUUUGCCAUGACCUCAUUUGGAGCCCAAUCACCUCAUGGCCCUGAGGUUAGAAGUUGCACCAUUCUUUCUGAAGAAAACCCUGCUUUUAAACCUGCUUCAGGACCACAUAGUGUGAUUUUUCUAUCAUAUGUAAAAUGAGAGCAGUGUUAGCAGGCUUGUUUCAACUUUAGAGUAAAGCCUCUUCUGUGAAAUUGUUUGCAGAGUCUGUCCUCAUUGUUAAUAUUGCCUCUCUCCCUCCAUAACUUCUCUGUUGCUCACUGUGCUCUCCCCUCAGGCGAGUGUGAAUCAGAGCUUCUGAGAUCUUGAGGAAGCGCCGUCUCCCUUUUUCUUUACAUACGAAGUGGCUUCUCUUUCUGUUUAUAUCCUCAUGUGAACAUUCUGGAUGUGACAAACUGUAUAUCCUUGAGAAAUUUCCUUAACCCCACUGAGGCUCUGUUUAAGAAUGUGUUAUCUCAUGGGCAACCAGGAUUGAAAAACAGCUAAGGUAAGUGGAUGCAGACUCAAAGACUAACUCUUUGAGUCACUGAGCUGUGGCAUCUCAGUCAAAUUAUCCAAAAUGCCAGGGCCUUCAGAAAGAUAAGAUGAGGGUAAAGAGCUAUUGAAAUCUAAGCUCUCUACCUGUUCUACAAGAAACCAGUACUUCCAUGAUACAUGACUGUCUACAGCCUGAUGGCAUCCGGAAAGAAAUGUUAACACUGCAGGUACACGUCUAUGUAUUUGAUGGAGCAUAUUUGUGUGGUUUAUAUACAGAGUAUAUCAUUUGAAAUUAAAAUAGAGGAAGUUUUAAGUGAUUUCACUUCAGGGUCCUUGCUAAAGGCCGGGUAACGCUGCCAGUUCUUCUGUGAGAAUUACAGAUUAGCAAAGUGAGAAUUGUAGCAGUUUGGCUGUAAAGAUAUUAAAAAGUCUAGUAAGUUUAAGUUAUUUUCACUCCAG
ensembl:lncRNA